GACGUAGGAGGCGAGCGUUGUCCGGAUUCAUUGGGCGUAAAGCGCGUGUAGGCGGCCAGAUAGGUCUGCUGUGAAAACUCGAGGCUCAACCUCGAGCUGUCGGCGGAAACCAUCUGGCUAGAGUCCGGAAGAGGAGAGUGGAAUUCCUGGUGUAGCGGUGAAAUGCGCAGAUAUCAGGAAGAACACCUAUGGCGAAGGCAGCUCUCUGGGACGGUACUGACGCUGAGACGCGAAAGCGUGGGGAGCGAACAGG
rnacentral:rRNA from 1 species